AAUAAUUUCAAGCCUUUGGUAGGCUGUGAUGUCCUGUGAUGUACAUUUACAUAUGGGAGACGUCCCUAGAUCCCUCUUUGGUAGAGGUUGCCUUUGGUAGGUUAUAAAACAGAUUUCCAGUCUUUGGUGGACUGUGGUAUUUAUUUAACGUAGAUGUCAAUUUUGCAGACUAAAAUGGUUAUUAAAAAAAAAAAAAAAGGGGGUUAAAAGGUAUGAUGGAUGUUUGGCAUUACUCCG